rnacentral:rRNA from 1 species
CCUACGGGGGGCUGCAGUGGGGAAUAUUGGACAAUGGGGGCAACCCUGAUCCAGCCAUGCCGCGUGUGUGAAGAAGGCCCUCGGGUUGUAAAGCACUUUCAGUGAGGAAGAACGCCUGGUGGUUAAUACCCAUCAGGAAAGACAUCACUCACAGAAGAAGCACCGGCUAACUCCGUGCCAGCAGCCGCGGUAAUACGGAGGGUGCGAGCGUUAAUCGGAAUUACUGGGCGUAAAGCGCGCGUAGGUGGCUUGAUAAGCCGGUUGUGAAAGCCCCGGGCUCAACCUGGGAACGGCAUCCGGAACUGUCGAGCUAGAGUGCAGGAGAGGAAGGUAGAAUUCCCGGUGUAGCGGUGAAAUGCGUAGAGAUCGGGAGGAAUACCAGUGGCGAAGGCGGCCUUCUGGACUGACACUGACACUGAGGUGCGAAAGCGUGGGUAGCAAACAGGAUUAGAUACCCGGGUAGUC